GCAGAGAGCGUUGUCAUGGAAACGGAGCAACGACACGACACCUGACCGUCAACAGUACUUCUCUCAUGCGGCAGUUUUCACUAAUUUCAGGAGUGACAAAAUUACCCCUACAACAGAAGAGAAGAGCCAAGAUGAAGGUAGCUAAUCACAGAGCAGGAGGAAACACAGAUUUUGGAUCGUCCUCCACUCACUCUACCCCUUUUUUUUCCUUGCCAGACUUCAUUCAAGAAGCCUGCUACAAGAGAGACAGCGGAAGGGAGCCUCAAAUACAUUUUUAUAAGGAUCUGCUAAUCAUGAGGGGGCAGACAAAAGAACCUGCAUUUUCCUUCAGCUUAAUAUCAGGGGUCGCCACAGCGUAAGGAACUGGAUAUUACUUUGGCAUAUGUUUUACACAGC
ensembl:processed_transcript